rnacentral:sRNA from 1 species
CUCGCGGAACCUUAAUCCACACACGCAUCGACACGGUCUGUCGGGUGCCCGCCAGGAGGCUUCGGUCUCGUGCUCGGGUUUCAGAUCGGGAUGCGUGGAGGCUCAAC